UACGGUGGGGGCAAGCGUUGUUCGGAAUUACUGGGCGUAAAGGGCUCGUAGGCGGCCAACUAAGUCACACGUGAAAUCCCUCGGCUCAACCGGGGAACUGCGUGUGAGACUGGAUGGCUUGAGUUUGGGAGAGGAAUGCGGAAUUCCAGGUGUAGCGGUGAAAUGCGUAGAUAUCUGGAGGAACACCGGUGGCGAAGGCGGCAUUCUGGACCAACACUGACGCUGAGGAGCGAAAGCCAGGGGAGCAAACGGG
rnacentral:rRNA from 1 species